UUUUUUUUUUAUUACAGUUCAACCCAAGCAAAGACGUCCAACUGGGACACUUCAGAAUGGAAAAGCUGCCGCAGAUUUAGUUCCCCAACCACCACAAACGUCUGAAUCAAC